AUUUUUUGUCUUGCACUAGAAGUAGAAAGAAAUGUGCUUCACUAUCUGCCAUUUCAAUGAUACACUAAUAUCAUAUCUCUUGUACAUAUAAGAUUCAACAUGAAGUGGCCAUCUUUUGUAUCAUAUCUCUUGUACAUAUCUCUUGUACAUAUAAGAUUCAACAUGAAGUGGCCAUCUUUUUUAGCAUCAACAUCUAUAAUAAUUAUAUGUGGUCAGAUAUAUAGAUGGUGAACUUCUAUUACACUUGCACUUCAAUCUCUAAAGCCACAUACCAAGG
rnacentral:lncRNA from 1 species